AUACGUAGGGUGCAAGCGUUGUUCGGAAUUAUUGGGCGUAAAGCGCGUGUAGGCGGUUUGUUAAGUCUGAUGUGAAAGCCCGGAGCUUAACUCCGGAAGUGCAUUGGAUACUGGCAAACUAGAGGACGAGAGAGGGAAGCGGAAUUCCUGGUGUAGGGGUGAAAUCCGUAGAUAUCAGGAGGAAUGUCGGAGGCGAAGGCGGCUUCCUGGCUCGUAACUGACGCUGAGACGCGAAAGCGUGGGUAGCAAACAGGAUUAGAAACCCCAGUAGUCC
rnacentral:rRNA from 1 species